rnacentral:rRNA from 1 species
GACGAACGCUGGCGGCGUGCCUAAUACAUGCAAGUUGAGCGCUGAAGGUUGGUACUUGUACCGACUGGAUGAGCAGCGAACGGGUGAGUAACGCGUGGGGAAUCUGCCUUUGAGCGGGGGACAACAUUUGGAAACGAAUGCUAAUACCGCAUAAAAACUUUAAACACAAGUUUUAAGUCUGAAAGAUGCAAUUGCAUCACUCAAAGAUGAUCCCGCGUUGUAUUAGCUAGUUGGUGAGGUAAAGGCUCACCAAGGCGAUGAUACAUAGCCGACCUGAGAGGGUGAUCGGCCACAUUGGGACUGAGACACGGCCCAAACUCCUACGGGAGGCAGCAGUAGGGAAUCUUCGGCAAUGGACGAAAGUCUGACCGAGCAACGCCGCGGGAGGGAAGAAGGUUGUCGGAUCGUAAAACUCUGUUGGUAGAGAAGAACGUUGGUGAGAGUGGAAAGCUCAUCAAGUGACGGUAACUACCCAGAAAGGGACGGCUAACUACGUG